GACGAACGCUGGCGGCGUGCUUAACACAUGCAAGUCGAACGGAAAGGCCCUGCUUUUGUGGGGUGCUCGAGUGGCGAACGGGUGAGUAACACGUGAGUAACCUGCCCUUGACUUUGGGAUAACUUCAGGAAACUGGGGCUAAUACCGGAUAGGAGCUCCUGCUGCAUGGUGGGGUUUGGAAAGUUUCGGCGGAUGGGGAUGGACUCGCGGCUUAUCAGCUUGUUGGUGGGGUAGUGGCUUACCAAGGCUUUGACGGGUAGCCGGCCUGAGAGGGUGACCGGCCACAUUGGGACUGAGAUACGGCCCAGACUCCUACGGUAGGCAGCAGUGGGGAAUAUUGCACAAUGGGCGGAAGCCUGAUGCAGCAACGCCGCGUGCGGGAUGACGGCCUUCGGGUUGUAAACCGCUUUCGCCUGUGACGAAGCGUGAGUGACGGUAAUGGGUAAAGAAGCACCGGCUAACUACGUG
rnacentral:rRNA from 1 species